UAGGGAAUCUUCCACAAUGGGCGCAAGCCUGAUGGAGCAACGCCGCGUGAGUGAAGAAGGGUUUCGGCUCGUAAAGCUCUGUUGUUAAAGAAGAACACGUAUGAGAGUAACUGUUCAUACGUUGACGGUAUUUAACCAGAAAGUCACGGCUAACUACGUGCCAC
rnacentral:rRNA from 1 species